rnacentral:lncRNA from 1 species
AUUUCCAUUCCUCUCGCAUACAGCCUCUGUUGUGCGGGCCGGGCCUGCAGAGGGUAGCCGCGGCUGCCUACGAACAAAGCCCCAUUCAUCCCCAGGGACGCUUCCUCCCCGCCGGCCCGCGGCCGCAGAUGGGCUGGCCUGGGCACGCCAUCCUGCAACCCGGGCGCGCGGCCCGGCCUGGCGCGCACAGGGCUCCGAUUCAGGACGCCGGGGCUGGCCGGGGCGACCCGGGCUGCUUUUUCAGCAGGCCCCACAAUGAGGAUCGGCUGAAACUCGCUUUCAUUUCUGGGCCGGGGACAGGCAGACACUGAGUCCUUUCAGCCGGGAAAUCCUCAGUUUACUCACGGCUUGUUGAGAACGAAGAUGUCAAUUUCCACUGCCCUCUCCCGGCCUCCCCCACCCUUGCCCCCUCGGGAUGGUACGGUCCGAAGUUUCCCGAGUUGUGAGAGGACUUUGUUUCUCCUCUGCGGCCUCUGAAAUCCCGACGAAAGGGUCAUUUCCUGACUUUUGUGUCUCUUCAAUCCAGUGCCUUGAAAGUUCUUACCCUCUUGUUGUGACUGAGUGCAUAAUUGCAAGGCUGCUCCCUAACUUUUUUUCAGAGCUUUAACAUUCCUCUAGGUUCAAGUUUGGGACCGUGGCUUCACAACAAAGACCAGUUUUUUCCUCCCCCUCCUCACUCCUGGGAAAAAGGAAAAAAGGAAAAGAAAGAAACCAAAACGCGUUUGUUCAGCAACCAUGUUCACAGAUUUCGAGCACACUUCUUCUGGCCCCACAGAUAAGAAGCAGAUAAGAUCUAAGAGGGGAAGAGACUUGUCCGCCCUCCAAAAGAAGCUGGUUCAUCCCAGUAAAAAUUGCCUCAAACAAACUUAAAAAUAAUUUUCAAAAAGAAAGCCUCCAAGAAAAAAGUGUUGUUCAAAAAUAUGUUUUCUUUUCUCCCUUUGUGUCAGAAAAAGUUUUCUCUGAGUUGGUGGGAAAAGGGUGGGAACCCAGGUUUGAGCUGAGGAUUAGAAAAAAACCUUCAAGUAUCUUUCCAAAGAAUGCUCUCUGUGUUUCUUUCACUUCCUGCAUUUUGAACAUUGCUACUCUCUCUCUUCAAAGUACAGUCAUUCCCCCGUAUCCGUUGGGAUUGGUUCCAGGACACAUCCCCACCCAUAACCCAAACCCUGGGUGCUGAAGUCCCGUAUAUAAAAUGCAACAUAUUUGCAUAUAACCUAUGCACAUCCACCCUUAUACUUUACUUCGUCUCUAAAUUAACUUACGAUGCCUUAAACAAUGCCUACACAUCACUUGAUUCUCCUGGAUUCAAUGUAGUACUUGGCGUGGGACAAAUUCAAGGUUUGCUUUUUGGAACUUUGUGGAAUUUAUUUUCUGAAUAUUUUUUAUCUGCGGUUGGUUGAGUCCAUGGAUGCAGAACUGACGGAUACAGAGGGCCGACUGUAUUGCAUCCUUGGUGUGGCUAAAAAAUACAACGAAAUAAAAACUGGUUACUUGCUACUCCAAGACUUCUUUCGUCCUGCAGGAAAAAACCUUCACAAUCUUAAAAUGGAGAUAGGAUUACUUUGCAUGGGUUAUUUCUAAAUGUACAAAAUGAAUCAGUAUACACACAGAUAGAGAGAGAGGAGUGCUUGUCAUAUACCAAGUACCAUACUAAGCACUUUACACGCAUUCCCUCAUUGAAUGCUCACAAUAGCCUAUGAGGAAGAUGCUAUUACUACCCCCAUUUUACAGAAAACAGA